UUGGAUCCAGACUUUGAUUCUGGCUCAGGAUGAACGCUAGCUACAGGCUUAACACAUGCAAGUCGAGGGGCAGCGGGAUUGAAGCUUGCUUCAAUUGCCGGCGACCGGCGCACGGGUGAGUAACGCGUAUCCAACCUUCCGUACACUCAGGGAUAGCCUUUCGAAAGAAAGAUUAAUACCUGAUAGUAUCUUAAGCACACAUGUAAUUAAGAUUAAAGAUUUAUCGGUGUACGAUGGGGAUGCGUUCCAUUAGGUAGUAGGCGGGGUAACGGCCCACCUAGCCAACGAUGGAUAGGGGUUCUGAGAGGAAGGUCCCCCACAUUGGAACUGAGACACGGUCCAAACUCCUACGGGAGGCAGCAGUGAGGAAUAUUGGUCAAUGGACGAGAGUCUGAACCAGCCAAGUAGCGUGAAGGAUGAAGGUCCUACGGAUUGUAAACUUCUUUUAUAAGGGAAUAAACCCUCCCACGUGUGGGAGCUUGUAUGUACCUUAUGAAUAAGCAUCGGCUAACUCCGUGCCAGCAGCCGCGGUAAUACGGAGGAUGCGAGCGUUAUCCGGAUUUAUUGGGUUUAAAGGGAGCGCAGACGGGUCGUUAAGUCAGCUGUGAAAGUUUGGGGCUCAACCUUAAAAUUGCAGUUGAUACUGGCGUCCUUGAGUGCGGUUGAGGUGUGCGGAAUUCGUGGUGUAGCGGUGAAAUGCUUAGAUAUCACGAAGAACUCCGAUUGCGAAGGCAGCACACUAAUCCGUAACUGACGUUCAUGCUCGAAAGUGUGGGUAUCAAACAGGAUUAGAUACCCUGGUAGUCCACACGGUAAACGAUGGAUACUCGCUGUUGGCGAUAUACUGUCAGCGGCUUAGCGAAAGCGUUAAGUAUCCCACCUGGGGAGUACGCCGGCAACGGUGCAACUCAAAUGAAUUGACGGAAGGUGGAAUU
rnacentral:rRNA from 1 species